UCUUCCCGGCGUGCCUAAUACAUGCAAGUCGAGCGUUUGGAUUCUAAGCUUGCUCUUAUGAAGUUACCUGGCGGACGGGUGAUUAACACGUGGGUAACCUGCCCAUAAGACUGGGAUAACUCCGGGAAACCGGGGCUAUUACCGGCUGAAAUUUUGCACUGCAGGGUUCGAACUUGAGGGGCGGUUUCUGCUGUCCUUAUGGAUGGACCCGCGUCACAUUAGCUACUUGGUGAGGUAACGGCUCACCACGCAACGUUGCGUUUUCGACCUGAGAGGGUGAUCUGGCACACUGGGACUGAUACACGGCCCACACUCCUACGGGAGGCCCCAGUAGGGAAUCUUCCGCAAUGGACGAAAGUCUGACGGAGCAACGCCGCGUGAGUGAUGAACGCUUUCUGGUCGUAAAACUCUGUUGUUAUCUACUAACAAGUGCUAUUUGACUAAUCUGGCACCUUGACGGUACCUAACCACAAAGCCACGGCUAACUACGUGCCAGAAGCCGCGGUAAUACCUACGUGGAAAGCGUUAUCCGGAAUUAUUGGGCGUAAAGCGCGCGCACGUGGUUUCUUAAAUCUGAUGUGAAAGCCCACGGCUCAACCGUGGAGGCACAUUGGAACCUGGGAGACUUGACUGCAGCAUAGGAUCGUGGCAUUCCAUGUGUAGCGAUGAAAUGCGUAUAGAUAUGGAGGAACACUAGUGGCUAAGGCGACUUUCUGGUCUGUAACUGACACUGACGCGCGAACGCGUGCGAAAAAAAAGGAUU
rnacentral:rRNA from 1 species